rnacentral:rRNA from 1 species
GAUGAACGCUGGCGGCGUGCCUAAUACAUGCAAGUCGAGCGAACAGACGAGGAGCUUGCUCCUCUGACGUUAGCGGCGGACGGGUGAGUAGCACGUGGAUAACCUACCUAUAAGACUGGGAUAACUUCGGGAAACCGGAGCUAAUACCGGAUAAUAUAUUGAACCGCAUGGUUCAAUAGUGAAAGACGGUUUUGCUGUCACUUAUAGAUGGAUCCGCGCCGCAUUAGCUAGUUGGUAAGGUAACGGCUUACCAAGGCGACGAUGCGUAGCCGACCUGAGAGGGGGAAGGGGCAGAAUAGAACGGAGACACGGGGAAGAGCCAGAAGGCAGGGAGAAGCAGGGAAGAGGACGAAAGGGGAGAAAGAAUUAAAGAGCAACGAAGAGGGAGGAAUGAAGGUGGGAGGAGAGAAAAACGAGGGGAGGAGGUAAGAAAAAAUGAGAAAGAACCUAGGCACGGCGCGAAGGGAAGUAAUAAGAAAGAGAGGGCUAACUAAGAG